CAGUAGGGGUGCCAUCAAGAGGUGUA
rnacentral:rRNA from 1 species